rnacentral:rRNA from 1 species
AUGACUAGGGAUAACCUUAGGAAGAGACACAUCAUCAAACCCCUUGAUUGUGUUUACUGCAUGGAACAAGAGUCUUGUUCUCACCUAUUUUUUGAAUGUAUAGUCGCUAAACAUCUCUGGGCCCACAUUGAGGAAUAUUUCUCUAGUCAGAUUGGCUCAUCCUUCGAAUAUGUCACCAGAUUCUGAAUUGCUACCAAAAAGUGCUCAGUUUUAAACACUAUUAGCUCAGCUAUCCUUUGGUGCCUCUGAAAAUAUAGAAAUGCUAUGAUUUUCAGUAACACCUCCUGGAUUUCCAUUCCGCAGGUCUUGAGGUUGAUCAGGAACAUGGUGAGGAACUGGGCGAUUCUCUCCUCCGGAUCGGACAAGGACAAGUUGAUGAGCUUCGUGGAAACCCUAACAAGAUCCCUCCAGAAACCAUUGGCGAUCACUUGUGGCUGA